rnacentral:lncRNA from 1 species
CCCAGCUCUGACCUGCCUCAAAUGUUGACACAAUGUCACGUUUCCGACUGCAGUCUUUCAUGUGCAGCCGGAGGCUAAAUACGGCUGCUGGUUCCUGGAAAAAGACGUGCCUGGCACCCUUUCAGCAGAAACCCGAUCCCCAUGCAGGCUUGGCACAACAGCUGAAUAACACGGCAAUAACUCUUUCAGCAGCAUUUCAACCCAUAAAUAGGGCUUCCCGAGCGACUCCUUGAAGUCAGGCGAGGAGGAUACAACGAUUUUUAGAAAAAGCAAAAAUAUAAAGUCAGGGUGUGUGAAGAGCGGGUGCGGGGGGGCAGCGGGUUCAGGCAGAUCAAAGGGUGCCGUGGGGGUGCUGAGCGUGGUUUGGUGAGAGGGAGCCCAGGAUUGCCUCAAAAGGAAAGAAACGCUCCUGAAUUUUUUAAUGUCUCGGUCCCGUUUCAUACCAGCCCUGUGGAGGCAGGGGAAGAGCCUUCCCGGGAGCCAGGGCCUUUCCUAACCCCGGUGAGGACACACAGACACAUAAUUUUAGCUUUUCACCACCUGUUUGGAAAGCUCCUAUAACCGAGUGCUGUGGGACUGGAUGGUUUUUACAGGCAUGUACCCCGGGAGCUGCUUAUUUGCAUUAUGCAUGGACCAAGGCCUAAAAUAAUCUGCAGUGACGCACAUUUUUUGCUGUGAUUUUUUUUCCCCCUCCCUCUUCCAGGACUCCAUUUUUCUGAACGUGCCAUGACUUUUGAGGACCACGCAUGGUUGCCCAGCCCCGGGGCUGCCGAGGCCCUGAUUCAGCACGUCCUGCUGCGGCGGGGGAGCAGGGGGAGCUCCGGGUGCCCGGCCGUGACACAGGGAGAGGGCCCUGGUGCUCCGCCUUGGCUUUCAUCUGCAGAGCGUGUAGCUGCAAGUGCGGCGUGUUUACAAAUGCAGGCAUUGCAAGAUCCCUUGAACUGUGUCCUAGUACAAAAGAGGCUUUGAAACGAGAAACACGUUGUCAUGGCAUGUUCCAGGCCAGCAGCACCAGACUGAACCAGAUAAUUGCUGUUUCUGCUUCACCGUGGAAAAAGCAGCAGGCCUCCCAAGAGCCGCUUUCUAAGACGAUGCCCUCGGGAAAGCUGUCACCAGCCUCGUCGAGCAGCGGCUCCUCCGGGCAGCACAGCUGGUCCUGAUCCCUCCGCAGGCCCAUUCCCAUCGGAGCUGCGGCUUUCUCCAGGAGGAGCAGGUAUGGGACCACCAGCACACAGC